rnacentral:lncRNA from 1 species
GGUCUUUUACGUCGGCCUUCGCGAGCGUCUGGGCGGGUGGUAGGAACAAUGGCGCUGUCUUCAGUGGCACAGUGGAGCAGCUCUGAAGAUGCAAAGAUACACGAAAAAACUUCCAGAACAUCUGGGAGAAUAUUUAAUGGAAAAUCGCUUGGUUAAAACCUGACACUUUUAACAGACUAAAUCAAAUUUUUUUUGUCAGUGAACAGCGUUCUGAGUGUGGACGAGUAGCCAGUGAAGAUAAUGAAUGUCGAAUGUGACUGACUAGCAGCUUCAUUUUGAAUGAGGGUCGCUGUCUGCCCAUUGAUAGAGGCCAGAUUGUCUUGGAAGUUCCAAAGUUGCAACGAUUUCUGGCUAGUGCCACGAGGUUUACUUGACUGUUGUGUGAAAAGCUGAUAAGAAAACCAUCCAGAAAAAAGCUCUUCGUUUUACAAACAUGAAAAUAAAACAUGUAAUUUU